GGGAAGGUAGCUCAGUGGUAGAGUGCUUGCCUCAUAUGCAUGAGGCCCUGGGUUUGAUUCCUCAGCACCA
rnacentral:tRNA from 1 species